UGCUUAUACCGGACCGCCGGACGCAGAGCUCGUCGGCCCUCGUGGUCGGCGCUGACGCGCCGGUGAGUAGGGAGGUCGCUCCGGUGGCGUUGAAGGGUCUGGGCGUGGGCCUGCCUGGAGCCGCCGGAGGUGCAGAUCUUGGUGGUAGUAGCAAAUACUCAAGAGGGAUCCUUGAGGCCUGACGUGGGGAAGGGUUCCAUGUGAACAGUGGUUGGACAUGGGUCAGUCGGUCCUAAGCCGAACCUGAAAUGGGUCCAUGACGAGCGCUAUCGACGGGUGGUCGAGCCAAGUGCGAGCUCGUGGAUAGGCGAAAGGGAAUCCCGUUCUCAUUCGGGAACCUGGUUGGGGAACCGUUCGAGCUCUCGGGUUCGUCGCGGUAACGCGAAUAAACCUUGGGAAGCUGGCGGAGACGCCGGGAAGAGUUUUCUUUUCUGCUUAAGGGAGCAACGACCCUGGAAUUCUGUCGUGGAGAGAUAGGGUUAUGCUUCCGAAGAGCGUCGCAUUUGUGCGACGUCCGUGCGUUUCUGCCGGCCCUUGAAAACCAAGGGGAGGGCCACGUGAACGUUCCCACCAGACCGUACCGAUAACCGCAUCAGGUCCCCAAGGUGAACAGCCUCUAGGCGAUAGACGAAUGUAGGUAA
rnacentral:rRNA from 1 species